rnacentral:lncRNA from 1 species
AAAAUAAUCAUUAUAUUUUACAAAAAAAAAUAAUUUAUAAAUUUAAAAUAAGUUAUGAAUAGUAUUUAAAACCAAAUUACUACCAAAAUUAAAAUCAAACUAAAAGAAAAAAAAUUAAAGAACAUAUUAUCAGAUCAGAUCAAAACACAUGAAGGUAAUAGAAACACCAAAUCGAAAUCAAAACCAAAAACAAAAUUAAUAAAGCCAAUUCAACAGAAUAAUUGAAAUCAAAUCAAAACACAUGAAGGUAAGAGAAACAACCCAAAUCAGAAAUUAAAUGCACAAAUAUCUGCUCCAUAUCAGAACACCCAGACCCAGAUCAGAACACAUCCACUACCGAACACAAAUCUCUUCUCCAGAUCGAAAAUUAAAGGCACAUCGAUCCACUACCGAACGCAUCCACCCAGAUCGAAAAACAUCCACACUCAGAUCGAAAAUUAAAGGCACAAAUCUCUGCUCCAGAUCAGAAUAAAUCUCUGCUCCAUUUUGUUUGAUUCCAUUCUUACCGAACACAUUACACAUCCAUUACCGACGCCAGACAUCAUCACUAAAUCCAUCUUAUUACAACCAAAUCCAGUAAAAUAUAGAGAACUUAGAAAAAGAAAUAAAUGGUUUGAGAAACAAACAAACACAUCCACCUGAUAUUUUUGGUGCUUCUUUUUUGAUGUAUGUCAUUGAUGUUUUGUUCAAUUGAAGAAGAAAAAGAAGCAUUCGGUGGAGGCAGAAAUGAUUUUUCUUAAUGCAUUCAGUGGCGACAGAAAUGAUUUUUGUUGAUGUAUUUUGUUGCCAGAUUUUUCCAUUAUUUUUUUUCUCUUUCUUACUCAAAAAUC